rnacentral:rRNA from 1 species
UACGAAGGGGCCUAGCGUUGUUCGGAAUCACUGGGCGUAAAGCGCACGUAGGCGGAUAUGUCAGUCAGGGGUGAAAUCCCGGGGCUCAACCUCGGAACUGCCUUUGAUACAGCAUAUCUUGAGUCCGAUAGAGGUGGGUGGAAUUCCUAGUGUAGAGGUGAAAUUCGUAGAUAUUAGGAAGAACACCGGUGGCGAAGGCGGCCCACUGGAUCGGUACUGACGCUCAGGCGCGACAGCGUGGGGAGCAAACAGG